CCCCCCCCCCCCCCCCCCCCCCCCCCAGCAUGCCCCGUUCCCUCAUGGUGGACGGCGACCACGGUGGAGGACUUGCAAGCCCUGAAAAGCACAAAAGCCGGGAAGACACCGGACAUGGGUUCUUGUGCGUCAGUUCACAAGGAGGACGUUGGGCUGCCCAAGAAGCUGAGCCUCGCCUUGUCGUUGCCGUCCAAGGUCGAUCUCAAGCGCAAGAUCAAGGUGUUCGGCCCCAGCAGCAGGAGCGUCGACUCUGCUUGGUGCCUGGGUCCAUGGACUCCCUACAAAAAAAAAACUUGGAUCCACUAUGGACGGCAAGACACAUCAUCUGCUGCCUUGGAGUGACCAUGGCCAAGAAGACGUUGUUCGUACCCGUUCCCCGGUGCUGUCCGGCGAGUUAGUGCUUGGGCGCUCUUCAACGCCUUCGUUUUUGUUGUCUCCUAUGAUCUUUCGCUACACGCUCGGCCACUACCACAUGCCCUGCAGUAAGGUAACUAACUACUACCAUCCGUGCUUGUGCUUGUACUAAUUCUGAAUUAUUUCAGUCCAGUUUGAGGCGAGCCGCAGCCACGACAUCGACGGCAUCCAUCAAUCCUGGAUCCUUCGACAUCUGGAUGGACCCUAGCUCACUCAUGGACUACGACGAUGGGCUCAUCAGUAUCACCUGCCACAUCAUCGACAUCACCGUCUCCAUGUCGUUCUGUUGUUUGUCCCUGCUACCAAGUCACUCAAUGCUUGGUUUCUCUCAACAAAUUUCACUCAUUACAUUGGAUCAUUGUGCUGUACUGGUGAAAAUAAUUGUGUGUGUGUGUGAUUGCAUUUUUUAUAUGAUUGAUGUUAUGAUGGUUAAUCACAUUAUA